rnacentral:tRNA from 1 species
GUCCCUGUAGCUUAUUCAAAGCAUGACGCUGAAGACGUCAAGAAGGCCGCCAAUACGCAACCAAGGACA